rnacentral:rRNA from 1 species
GUGGGGAAUAUUGGGCAAUGGGCGAAAGCCUGACCCAGCAACGCCGCGUGAAGGAAGAAGGUCUUCGGAUCGUAAACUUCUAUCCUUGGUGAAGAUAAUGACGGUAGCCGAGAAGGAAGCCCCGGCUAACUACGUGCCAGCAGCCGCGGUAAUACGUAGGGGGCAAGCGUUGUCCGGAAUGAUUGGGCGUAAAGGGCGCGUAGGCGGCCUGGUAAGUCUGGAGUGAAAGUCCUGCUUUUAAGGUGGGAAUUGCUUUGGAUACUGUCGGGCUUGAGUGCAGGAGAGGUAAGUGGAAUUCCCGGUGUAGCGGUGAAAUGCGUAGAGAUCGGGAGGAACACCAGUGGCGAAGGCGACUUACUGGACUGUAACUGACGCUGAGGCGCGAAAGUGUGGGGAGCAAACAGGAUUAGAUACCCUGGUAGUCC